GAACCACUGGGUUAAAGGUGGGAUCUUUUGAUACUAAGAAGAAUGUCUAAAAACAAAAGCAAGCCUCUUAUAAAAACUUACGGUGUGUCAUUAAAUCAUAAGAAUUAAACAAGAUUACAUUUUCUAGUAGUCUAUUUUAAACAUCCCACAUUCAUUACUAGCUUUUAAUUAGGAAUUAAUGUGAGUCGUUAAAGCGUGAUGUCUGGGGGGGCAAGUUUUGUAGCGAGUCGCAACUUUUGUUAUCGUUACCACUAUGUAAUGAUGGGGAUUUGUAUAAGAUUUUGGUUAUAAGGUGGAGGGUAAGGCUUGUGUUCAAGUUGUUACUCUUAUAUCCUACGCACGUGUUUACAAUGUUCUGUACAAAGCGAAGAGAAACAGUGAUUUGAAGCAAAAGCUUAAAGCGAGCUAAGUCUGGAUUGAAGUUUGAAAUUCGAUUUCAUGAAGUUAAAAUCACUAAUAAUUGUAUAUCAGAAUAAUACGGUGAAUAUGUUUUCAGACCUUAUACACACUCGUCCGUCACACCAUUUGAGUUGAAGAUGGCUUAAGUUGUUAUUCUAACCCGUAAGGGGGGCGCUUUAAGUUGUAUGUUUAAGUGAGGGGGGUGAAGUAGCAACAAGGCGAUCGCAUUUUCCGGUAUGGCUGAAUUAGCCUCUUUGUAGAAGAAAGACAAAUUAAGGCUAAUUCUAUUGACGAUUCUUUGUACUUUUAUUUUGAUGAAAAAAUCUUUGAAGUCAGGGUAAAUUUUUAGUUUAAAAUUUAGAAAAAAUAAAUCUUUAGCAGGUGUUUGGCAGUAUUUGGCUUUAUAUUUAAUUAAGCUAUUGUUUGAUAGCAGGUACAAUUUUAGGGUGAAGGGCUUUUAUAUUAUUAAUUAUAGCUUAAAGCAAUAUUGCCAUAUUAAAACGAUGAAAUACAU
rnacentral:misc_RNA from 1 species